ensembl:lncRNA
AGGAGGUGUAGCGCUUGCAAACAUUGGCUAAUGCUAAUGCUAGCUUAGAUGUAUGUUUGUUUGCAGGGGGGAUCUGUGUUUGUCAUGGCCUUCUCAAUAACAUUUACUUUUAUUCUGACAGUUUUGUCAAAAGUGACGUGACACUCGAUGGUGGGCUGGAGCGUAUGUUUAUCAAAUGCACUGUUGCCAACUAUCCGGGGAAGUUGCUAGAGGCAAGUUGAUUUGUUGCUACAAGUUGCUAAAUUACAUUUUGAUGUCAUUGCGUGAUGGCGUCAUUAACUAAUAACGUAAAACUGCGUCAUUAUGCAGAAUACAAAAUAACGUUACUCAAAUCCGCUGUCUAUCUCCGCAAAAAGAUGAUUUAGAUUUAGAUAAGUUCAGAUUUGUUUGUUCAUUAUCUCUUGUUUUUAUUUGUAGAAGUGAUAUAAACAACACAUUCUAUGAUCAGCCAGGCACAUGUUGUUUUUGUGUCAUUUAGAGGGAAAAUACGUGCAUUUCAGCAUUUGAUUUUUUUUAAAUAGCUAAAUGUGUUGCUAGGUGCCAGGGUAGUCUAAAAAGUUGCCAAAUCUAGCAACAAAGUUGUUAAGUUGGCUACACUGAUCACAUGGCUCAAAUCCACAUCCGUCUUUUCAGGUGUGUUGAAAUCAACACCUCAGUCGGACUAAUUCAGUCUUCUAAUUAAAAGUUGUCUGAGAAGAACACAGCGGAGAAUAAAGAAAGACAUAUUUUCCUUUAACCUGACAACAGAAACACACCUACCAUUGUAUCCCAGGGAUUCAGAAAGGAUUGAUCCCUUUAUGUCCUAUUCAUUGCAUAUUUUAACACAGUGGACGUCAUUUAAUUUUUUGUGUUGAAGAUAACUGAAUUUGUCAGUGAAGAUACAUGUUGAUAAAGUAAAAACAGAGAAACAAAAUAAUUAGUAAGCACCCACUUAAACUCGUUUAAAUUGAGAUGUGGAUCUCCAGGACACCCACAAACAUUUCCAAACAUUUUGCAAAAAGAAUAUAAAACAAAUUAAAACACAUAAAUUAAGACAGCUCUUUAUGCUCUCUACCAGUUUAUCAAACAGACAAACAUUUAAAUAAUUUUAAAUAAGAGACUCCUUACCCACAAGAAGAAUGAAAUAUUAAUCUAAAAACUGAUUACAAUCACAAAUAUUUGCACUACUAAAAACUGAUUACAAUCACAAAUAUUUGCACUACUUCCAUAAACAGUAUUAUUACUCAUUUAUACAAUUCUGUCAACAGAGCUUGUUUAACGCCUUUUUGGAUUUGGAUUUUUGGAUUUUGUUUUUGGUCUGAGGUCUAAGCUUUUAAGGCAGUUGCGGGGAAAUGAGAACUGAAUUAAAAAGAAAUUGGAAUACAAAUGUUCUUUGAACUUAUCAAGGUCAAAUAUGUUUGUUAACUGCAGAUUUUUAAAUAAUGAGUCAGUAUCCAGCAGGGAAUUACGGAUUCAUCAGCUCCAUCACCAAGAAGACUCAGCAGAGGUUGUUCUUCCAGAGGCAGCUAAAGAAAUUCAACCUGACAAAGACAAUGAUGGUCCACUUCUACACGGCCAUCAUCGAGUAAUCCUCUGCUCCUCAAUCCCCGUCUGGUACGCUGCAGCCAAGGACAAGGGCAGGCUGCAGCGUGUCAUCCGCUCUGCAGAGAGGGUGAUUGGCUGCAAUCUGCCGUCUCUCCAGGACUUGUUCGCUUCCAGGACCCUGAAGCAAGCUAAAAAGAUUGUAGCCGACCCGUCACCCCGGACAAAAACGGUUUGUGCCUCUUCCAUCUGGCAGGAGGCUGAGGUCCAUCAGGACGAAGACCUCCCGCCACACAAACAGUUUCUUCCCGUCGGCAGUCGGGUUCAUCAACAGAGCCCAGUCCCCCACUGACUGACUCUGAUAUCCCACCGGUCACUUUCACUUGUCACUUUCUGUUGUCCGCUGGUGCACUUUAUUUUGAAUUUUUAAAUAUUAACUUAUUUUAUUUUUAAACUAACCCAUAGUAUUAUAUUUUAUUCCUUGUGCAGUUGUCUUAUCAUCCAGUCUGCUGUUACACACCAACCGCCAAUUCAAAUUCCUUGUAUGUCUGACAUAUGAUGG